rnacentral:rRNA from 1 species
GCGCAGCAGUCGCGAAUAGUCUACAAUGGACGAAAGUCUGAUAGUGCGACGCCGUGUGUGCGAUUAAUUCCUUCGGGAUGUAAAGCACUUUUCUAUGAGAUAAAAGCUCUUUAGGUUAAUAGCUUAUUGAGACGGAUAUUAUUAUAGGAAUAAGCUCCGGCUAACUCCGUGCCAGCAGCCGCGGUAAUACGGAAGGAGCGAGCGUUGUCCGGAUUUACUAGGCGUAAAGGGCUAGUAGGCGACUAAUUAAGUUAUAUGUUAAAUCCCACGGCUCAACUGUGGUCCUGCAUGUAAUACUGGUUAGAUAGAGUACUGUAGAGGAAGGCAGAAUUCCUGGAGUAGCGGUGGAAUGCGCAGAUAUCAGGAAGAAUAACCAAAAGCGAAGGCAGCCUUCUGGGCAGUUACUGACGCUGAAUAGCGAAGGUGUGGGUAGCGAACAGGAUUAGAUACCCCCGUAGU